rnacentral:rRNA from 1 species
ACAGAUUUGGUCCUAGUCCUCGACUUGGCUAACCCUAGAAUGAUACAUGCAAGCUAAAACAAGCAAAACAGUGAGUACAAAAACCCACUCCUACUUUAAAGCGAGGAUACGCCAAUACCCAGCAUCAGGCUCGUCCACAGGCCUACAACGCUUAGCCCACCACACCUGCAGUACUUAACAUUUUACAAUAAGCAAAAGCUUGAUAUAGUCAUAGGAACCAAUGACCGGUAAAUUAUGUGCCAGCCACCGCGGUUAUACAUAAGGCCAUAGUCAACCAUCGUCCUAACAAGCGGAAAAAAGUGGUUAGGAAAGACACAACCUGGGUAAAACCUUACUCUAGUAGUAGCAAGCUUACAGAACAAUAAUAACAAUAGAAAAAGCAACCCCGGAACCUCCAAGCCACCAAAGCUCAAAAAUAAACUGGAAUUAGAUACUCCACUAUAUGAGCCGUCACUUUUACCCCAAUACCAGAGCACUACGAACUAACGU